rnacentral:rRNA from 1 species
CCUAGGGAGGCAGCAGUGGGGAAUAUUGGACAAUGGGCGAAAGCCUGAUCCAGCCAUGCCGCGUGUGUGAAGAAGGCCUUCGGGUUGUAAAGCACUUUCAGUGGGGAAGAAAGCCUUGGGGCUAAUACCCUCGAGGAAGGACAUCACCCACAGAAGAAGCACCGGCUAACUCCGUGCCAGCAGCCGCGGUAAUACGGAGGGUGCGAGCGUUAAUCGGAAUUACUGGGCGUAAAGCGCGCGUAGGCGGUCUGAUAAGCCGGUUGUGAAAGCCCCGGGCUCAACCUGGGAACGGCAUCCGGAACUGUCAGGCUAGAGUGCAGGAGAGGAAGGUAGAAUUCCCGGUGUAGCGGUGAAAUGCGUAGAGAUCGGGAGGAAUACCAGUGGCGAAGGCGGCCUUCUGGACUGACACUGACGCUGAGGUGCGAAAGCGUGGGUAGCAAACAGGAUUUAGAUACCCCAGUAGUC